rnacentral:sRNA from 1 species
CACCACAAACAGAGACUAAAGCAA